CUCGUGGCUACAAAGAUGAUGAUCAGGAUGUUUCCAGACAAUGAUGAGAUAUAGACUAUGAAACACAGGCAGAAAAAGAUAUACUGGAAGUUGUGAAGGUCUCCAAAUCCAAUGAGCAAAAAUUCAUUGACUGUUUCAUUCUUCAUGAUCAUAAUGUUUAGAUAUCAGGACAACAAAAUGGAAGGCUAUAUGGAUAGGGAAAGGCAGGAGAACAAGGACUACCAAGAAUGCC